rnacentral:rRNA from 1 species
UCCAGACUCCUACGGGAGGCAGCAGUGGGGGAUAUUGCACAAUGGGGGGAACCCUGAUGCAGCGACGCCGCGUGGGUGAAGGAGCGUUUCGGCGCGUAAAGCCCUAUCGGCAGGGAAGAAGGAGGACGGUACCUGACUAAGAAGCCCCGGCUAACUACGUGCCAGCAGCCGCGGUAAUACGUAGGGGGCAAGCGUUAUCCGGAUUUACUGGGUGUAAAGGGGGCGCAGACGGCAGCGCAAGCCAGGAGUGAAAGCCCGGGGCCCAACCCCGGGACUGCUCUUGGAAUUGCGCGGCUGGAGUGCAGGAGGGGCAGGCGGAAUUCCUGGUGUAGCGGUGAAAUGCGUAGAUAUCAGGAGGAACACCGGUGGCGAAGGCGGCCUGCUGGACUGCGACUGACGUUGAGGCCCGAAAGCGUGGGGAGCAAACAGGAUUAGAUACCCCAGUAAG